rnacentral:rRNA from 1 species
AUAACAUUUCCCACUUUUGAUGGAACUAACCCCAUGGAAUGGCUGAGAACUACUAAGAAAUUCUUCUCUAUGGUAUACAUCCCAAAGGAGGCUAAAUGGGACUAUGCCCAGAUGUAUAUGACUGGCAAGGCUGACACAUGGCUAUGAAACUCGGGAAUUCUGGAUGAAAACCUUACUUGGGAUCAAUUCUGCAGUGUAGUUUUAAAAAGAUUCUCUGGGGACAGUUCAUAUGAGGUCGUUGAAAGUUAUAAUUCCCUCAAACAAGGAUCCGAAAAGAUGUCAUCUUUCAAAAAGGAAAAUACAGGAGUGCCCGAGAGCUGCUAUAUCAAGUGUUUUGUCAAUGGCCUCAGACCAAAGAUUAAGCACUACUUGAAGCCUUUCAAACCAAUCACACUCUAUGAUGCAGUAGAAACUGCUAGGAACAUGGAACUAGGAGUACAAUAA